UGGCUCAGAACGAACGCUGGCGGCGCGUUUAGGCAUGCAAGUCGAGCGGCAGGGGGGCCUCGGUCCCCCGAGAGCGGCGGACGGGUGAGUAACACGUGGACAACCUGCCCCCCGGUUCGGGAUAGCCCAGGGAAACCUGGAUCAAUACCGGAUGCGAGGGCGGCCGCACAAGCGGCCGUCGGGAAAGGCGCUUCGGCGCCGCCGGGGGAUGGGUCCGCGUCCCAUUAGCUAGACGGUGGGGUAACGGCCCACCGUGGCGAUGAUGGGUAGCCGGCCUGAGAGGGUGGACGGCCACAUUGGAACUGAGACACGGUCCAGACUCCUACGGGAGGCAGCAGCUAAGAAUCUUCCGCAAUGGACGAAAGUCUGACGGAGCGACGCCGCCGUGGAUGAAGAAGGCCGGAAGGUUGUAAAAUCCUUUUGAAACUGAAGAAUAAGCGUUGUAGGGAAUGACAGCGUGGUGACAGUAGGUUUUGAAUAAGCAACGGCUAAUUACGUGCCAGCCGCCGC
rnacentral:rRNA from 1 species